UCUUAUUUUCUUUAUGACAGUGAUAUUGAUUAGAUGGGUGUAUAAGAUUAUCAUAAUAAGUACCUAUUGCUCUUAUACAACAAGUGGAAAGGUGCUUCUUCUAGUUGAAUAUGGUUUUGAUAUUUUGUUUGUUUUUGCACAUGCAUACCCAGACUAGAUAUGUAAGAUAUGGCUAUGGAUAUCUUUAUUGCACUAGUUGAGGCUACUACCACUUUUAGGUGCUCGGUCUUAUUUUUCUCUUUAAGAAUUACAGUUGAAUUUAUUCAUGCUCUUUUAGGCGACAUAUUUGGCGUCCCUAAAGAAAAUUUGGAAAGCAUAAUUGGUGCCACCAUAGGUUCUUACCUUAAGUUGCUCUCUAGUGAGAAGGUUGGGCUUGAAGAAUUAAAUAGACUUGUGUACCUUGCAAAAGAUAUAGCUCAUGUUCACAAGUCUUGGUAGCUGUAGUUGAUUAUUUGGAUUUUAUUUAUGAGUAAGUUGGAAAUUUUGCAUUCUAGACAAUUUUUUCUACCUUCUAAUCAUUAUUUCAUCUCCAACCUUGGUUGUUGGAAGCAUGUAGUAUUCCCAUUAACCGUGUUAAUUGUAGGCUAGAGGUCAGCAAAAUAUUCUAUUCUGAAGAGUUUCAAGCAGAUAAGGUUGAAGAUGCUGUACAGGUGUUUGCAGAUAAUUUGCGUCACCCAGAUAAGGGAGUUCGUAUAUCUACUCUUAGAAUAUUAUGCCACUAUGAGCCUUUUCGGUCUGCCACCCUUACAAAGGACCCUUCAAUUGAUAACGAGAUGGAAACUGAAAAUUUGGAAUAAUAUUCUGAUGAUUUAGUGGGCGGUGAGGUUGCAACCUCACUGAACUCUACUGAGUGUUUUAUCCUACAAUCCGACUCUUCUGUUUUCUCUUGGCAUGGAAACCAAAGUAAAUUCGAGCAACAACAGUUAGCUGGCAAAAGUUGCAGAGUUUCUAAGGUGGUAAGACAAAGAUGCCUAUAACCAGAGACUACUGAAGUUGGGGGGGUCUGUUCAAGAAGAAUU